UGCAGGAAAACAGCACAUUCCAGUUGUCAAAGCAUUUGAGAAAGAUGUGAAAAAAAAUGAUGGAACGGGUUGGUUUGGGACGCAGAUCCUUUCACGUUCACAUGAAGGUCUGUUUACAGCAUAACGCAAAAAUUCUGCAGCUGCUGCGGGACAGAGGAUGCUGCCGUCUCCUCUUGCUAGUGUCAACUAGUUAGAAAAAAAAUGCAUGAGCAGAUUCCCUCUCUCUCUCUCUCUCUCUCUCUCUCUCUCUUCAUUGAGGUAAGAGCGAUACGACGGAUUGAAGAGUGUUUAUGGUGGUGGAAGUGUGUGAGGGUCCAGACAGGAAACCCAGUGGGACCAUAUAUGGAGCGACCACUCCUCCAGUACCGCCCACUCGUGAAGUGGGUCCAGCGCUAAUAUCAGAUGAUGAUGAUGAUGAUGAUGAUGAUGAUGUUCCUCCGGACAGGAUGCCCUCAUCUGUACCCUGGACAAAGUCUCUCCUUUCGUCUCUCUCUAACACACACCUGGAUCAUUGCGAUGGGGGGGCGCUGCUGUUCCCAUCAUUCUCUGUCUGUACCAACACAAAUAACCUAACAAGGUCAGCCAAAACACUCGUACUCCAUUACUCCGCUGGCUCACUGUGUGCCGGAGCUCCUGCCACUGCUGCAUCACAUUUGUGUAUCGACAGUCGCUAAUAACAGUAUGGGAAUUCUCAUAAACUCCCACUGACACCAGCAAGGAGAGCAAUCCUUAAAUCCUCUUGUUAGAUUUUGCAUCAGUGAGACCCUUAUCUUCACUGCUUUGCAUAAUUUGAAACUUAAUUUGAAUAACGCAGUAAUUGGUAGUCGUGAAGGUACAACAGGAAAAUGAUAAUUUAAAUUGGCACAGCAUCUGUUUCAGCAAAUGUCUAGGAGAAACAUGAAUAUAUCUGAUGGAAUUAUUCAAGAAUGCAAGAAAUUUGAAAAAAUGGCCUAACCUUUCUGUGUAUAUCUAUCAAAUUGUAUAUCUUUGUUGCCCAGAAUUUAGCCUGGAAUAUUCCUGCAAGUAAUGCCUCUGCCAAUUAAACAUGUAUAUGUGAGAGACUAACAUAUAGAUUUAGUAUGGAGAGAAAAUGAAACACUGAUUAAGUCUGGUGUAGCAAUGUAGGUCAACUUACAUUGCUUUAGACUCAACAUUACACAGCCCCUGCCAGUAAUGAAAAGGCAAUGGUGCAAAUGAAAAGCCAAUGAUGCAAAAGAAAUUAUUAUUUUUUAGCACAUCCAUUUACAGUAAAGUAAUUGAUUUUCGUGACAGGAAAAGUCACACGUAUCAUCCUCCAGAUGACACCACUGUGAGGAGGCAGUGGUGUGGAUUUAUUUAGAAACCCAGGAUGUACACAUCAUUAAACAGAUGAUUACAGCGCAGAUCCCCCGGAUACCUUUUGAGUCAUAUGCACACACCCCCAGACUCUCCACAUCUCCUCUGAAACCUGUCACUACAGACCAUCCUUAGUCACAAAGUAACGACGACAACGGAAGGACCACAGAUUUUAACAACAUUACUACAUGGCUUUGCAAACAUUUUAAUGAGCAAUUACAACACUGUUGUUAUUUAGGGCUUACAGCUG
rnacentral:lncRNA from 1 species